GAUGAACGCUGGCGGCGUGCUUAACACAUGCAAGUCGAACGGAAAGGCCGAAGCUUGCUUCGGUACUCGAGUGGCGAACGGGUGAGUAACACGUGGGUGAUCUGCCCUGUACUUCGGGAUAAGCUUGGGAAACUGGGUCUAAUGCCGGAUAUGACGAUCUCUUGGAUGGGGUUGUGGAAAGCUUUUGCGGUAUGGGAUGAGCUCGCGGCCUAUCAGCUUGUUGGUGGGGUAAUGGCCUACCAAGGCGUCGACGGGUAGCCGGCCUGAGAGGGUGUACGGCCACAUUGGGACUGAGAUACGGCCCAGACUCCUACGGGAGGCAGCAGUGGGGAAUAUUGCACAAUGGGCGCAAGCCUGAUGCAGCGACGCCGCGUGGGGGAUGACGGCCUUCGGGUUGUAAACUCCUUUCGCAAUCGACGAAGCCUUUUGGUGACGGUAGGUUGAGAAGAAGCACCGGCUAACUACGUG
rnacentral:rRNA from 1 species